rnacentral:lncRNA from 1 species
AGUAAUUUAAUUAUUGAGCAAACCAAAAUCUCUUCCAUUUUUAAUACUAAUACUAAUACUUACUAUGAGCAAAGAAAAGAGAAGAGAAGGUGAACCAAAGAGCAGUCCCAAGCUGACUCCUCCAUGGGCCUCUGAAUGCCGGAUUAUUGGAUUGGUACUCCAGUACCCAAACUAUGAACAUGGUGUAGAUCAAGAGGGCACCUGUGACUACCCACGUUUCCCAGGUGAAAGUCUUCAGGAACAUCCAUGCCUUGUGAGGUUCUUCAGACGUUACUUGUACUAUCACCAAUCCCGACUCAGCAUAUGGCACUGUGAAUUCCACUUUUUUUGAACGGGUGGCAAGUAUUGUCACAUCCCCAACCACAGCAUCAUAGGUCUUCCAUGUAUUUGAUUCACAAGAGAUAUGCACAAAAUUUCUAUCAGAAACAAAUGAUUGAAACAAAUACAAAGUAUGAUUCAUGAAUUCUGAGAGUUAAUCUUCAGUACUAUGUUCACUGCUCUUUCAUGGGGAUGAAGUCAAAACCUAAUAUACCAGAAAAGUCUACUGAACAGUCCUCUUCAAAACCUAAUAUACCAGAAAAGUCUACUGAGCAGUUCUUUGGAAGGCAUAAAAAUUGAGAAGUUUCAAGGGUUUGAAAAACCUAAUUAGGGAAAUAUAUAUUUCCACAUAAAACUUCCUUAAAUUCUUGCGCUCUUGCUGUAGUAAAGCAGGCAAAUAUUAACUAGGAGAGAAAUGAGGUUCAGUCUGACUUUGAUUUUCAUUUAAACCAACCACAUGUUAAUUGGGUCAGUAAGCUAGACAAGCUUUUUUUGAGUCAUUAGAAAAGGAAGAAGGUUUACUGAUGAAAUCACAACAUAAAUCAUGGACGCAAAUGUGAAGUUGAGAUUUAAUUCCAGUGUGGGGAAUAUCAGGAUUAUUGAGAACGAUUUAAAGAGCAAAAGCUAGGGAUGGGAGUAAUUACCUUGUUGUAAACACAAUCAACCAGCUCAUCGUAUGUGCCAACAACUGGAUGGAACUCGUAGGGUAGAGAGUAAUUUUGCUCCAAAAUUUUUAACACCUCGUGGAAAAUAUCAAUACAGAAACCAGUAUAUUUUUUUUCAGGCUCGAUUUGAUCUACGUCCACCUUCACAUAAUUUUUAAAAGUGGUGUUAGCUGGAAUUCCAAUCUUCAAUGGUUUUGCAACAGUGGGCAUUUCCCAUCCCUUGGGGACACGUUUUAGGUACCCUGGCCAAAUCACUGGACCAUCCAAAACCUUCGUGGUGUUUCUACCGCAAUUUUUGUCUCCACCUUCUCUGUUGAGAGGGUUGUCCAAGUCCUGCGUCCAACAGUCAAGCUCCUUGUAGUUCGUUCUAACAACGUUUAUAAUCCUGAACGGCAACGAAUUUGAAUUUGAUAGAUCACCCCCUUCAAAAAUAAUAUUGCCACUUAAACCACUGAAGUUGCUUGAUAAUAUAUUUUUUAACAACAUUUUUGGAGUAUUAGUAUCAUCACUAGCUAAUCUCUCUAGGGCCCGUGUGAUGACAGCAAUGCUAUCAUAUGCUCGUAGUGCAUGAAUUCCUGGCUGGGCGUUGUCUUCCUCUGGGUAUUCAGAUUUAAAAUUUUUCUGAAACUGGGCAGAGAAUUCUUGGAAGGGCCUAUUGGAUUUGGAUUGGGAAUAGUAGGACUUGAUUCCUAGAGCCCCUUCCAUAUAGGAGAUAACGGAGGUGUCCAUGGAAUCCAGGAAGCUUGAAAUGCUAUCUGUAAUUAUCCAGGCUGAGUCUUUCCCCAUAAAAUCCAUCCGCCUUGCUUCUUGGAACAAUUGGGUAGCCAUUGGUAAAGACGAUUGAAGAACAAUGAAAACCCUGGAUUGUGUGCUCAGAAGCUUCAAGAGCUCUUGAUGGACAGCUCCUCUUGGAUCAGAUAGAGAUGAUAUGGGAGGAAGAGGCAAAUGGUACUCAAUCUCCGAGCCAACUCUUUGAAGAGCUUCAGAUAAAAUAGUUAACAUCUCAGCGUUCCCACCGUACGCAUCAUCUUCAUAGAUUGCGAUGACUCUUCGCCAGUGAUAGGAGUGAACGAUAGCUGCAAUGCACCUUAUUUGUUCAGAAACAUUGGUGCCCAUUUGUAUCAGGGUGGACCUUCCAAGCUGCCUCGAUGGCCGGACACUCGCGGCUGCCGCCAAUGAAAGAACUGGUACUUGAGCUUGGUUUCCGAUUUCAGCAGCUAAAGCUGCUUGCUGCCAUGUAUCCAUGCCCACAAUCACUUGCACUUUCUUCUCUUUAAUCAGUUCUUCAGCUGUAAUUAAAUGUUAUGAGCCCCAUCAAUUGUAUUCCAUUUUUGUUCUGCCUAUUUCAUUCAUAUUCAGUACAUAACAGUGUUUUUCAAUACAUGGAAGCAAUAAAAAUCCAUUUCCACCUAUUUCAAUUUCUUUUCUUUUUCUAAAUGAUGAGUGAUGCUUAAAACAAGUUUUUCAAGUUAUCCUAAAUUUAUUUUUUAGAGGAAAACUUAAGAAUGAAAAAAAAAAAGGAAAAGAAAAAGGAAAAACAUUAGAAUUUAAUAUUUUUUUAUUUUACUAUGAUUGCGAAAUGACCAAUAUAAAGACAUCCAUCUCUCUAUAUCUUCCUACUUUUAUUUUUUAAAAUUUAAAAAAAAAUUAAUAUAAAAAAUAAAAAUAAUUAUUUUUACUUCUCUAUAUCCAUUCAAAGUUUAACCCUAAUUCUUCCUUUGUCCUUUCCUCUGCCUCGUCCCUUCUUUUCCUUCCUAAUGGGUCAUGAAUGAUACAAAGGAAGAGAAUAAAAGGGAAACAAAAUUGAGGUGGGUGUUAAAGAAGAUGAGGAUAAUUUUAUCCUUUCAUAUUUAAUUUUUAAUUUAAAAUAAAUAAAUAAAAUAAAAAAUAGAAGAUAUAUAAGUGACGUAGAGAUAGUUUGGGUGGCUGAUGUUAUAACCACUCGUGUAUCAUUCUAGAGGAUUAAUGUUGAAAAUAAUAGGAGAUUAGACAGCCGUAGAAGGAAUCAAGGAAGAGAUGACCAACCUGUUAAGGCUGCCCCAUAGAGUUCUCCGGUGAAGUUCCGGGAGAUAAGAGAGAGCUUAUGAUUCUUGGAAUUGUUAUUGAACUUAUCCACAGCUAUCUUGAUGGCGGUUAUUUCCUCUUUACCUUUACGAGAAUUAGCAUCAAUGAUUGCCCCAAUGAUGGUGGAGUUGUCAUCUACUGCUGUGCCGGUGAUGUAUCCAAGAUGGCAGACAAUUAAAAGAAUGGAGGUAAGUGAAAAGUAGAUGAAACAUGGUGUUGGAGAAUUCAGUGGGGAGGGCAUUUCUGCUCUUAGCAACCAGCAAGCAAUUAGUGCCUUAAAGGAGAUUCUUCUAAGCUUAAAUAAAUAUAAAUUCACAAGUAGAAUAUUCAUUUCGAAUCCCCAGUAUGAAGUUUCCUUCUUACUUCGUAAGUCAAUUCUUGCUGGGGAAUUCCCUUCCAUUACUUCCAUUCUCCUUGUACGCGGUAUUCAAAGCCAACCGCAUGGAUUUAUGGCCAAGGACAAAGAAGAUUAAACAAUGUGUCGUUUUCAUUCAAGGAUUUAGUGGUGUUGGAGGUAAGCGAAAAAUAGAAGAAACAUGGUGUCGGAGGAUUUAGUGGGAAGGGCAUUUCGGCUUUUAGCAACCAGCAUGAAAGUGCCUCGACUUUGAAUCCACGAGUUGAAUUCUUUAUUUUGAAUCCCCAAUACGAAGUUCCCUGCUUGCUUCGUAUAUGAAUGCAUGCUGUGUUGAAAUCACUGAUUCACUGAAGGAUAGACACAAAGAAUAUUCAAACAUGAGACUACAUGCAUUUAUGGUCAAGGAAAUCACUGAAUUAACAUCCUUCAUUCCUUUAAUACUUUUGGUUUUAUCUACGAGAGAGAGAGAAUCUCGAUGGUGAUCGAACAAAAAGCGUGGAUUUUUUUAUAAUUAUUUUUUAAAUAAAAAAAUUUAAAAAUAUUUUUAGAAUGUGUUUUUGAGCUGAGAAAUUUUUUUUUUCAUUUUACUAAUAAGAAAAUAUUUUUAUAAAACGUUUCCAAAUAGAUUCUAAAUGUCAAGUUUUAGAUUUUGGUAAGAAUUGUGGUUAGAUGAUGCUGGAUUGAUCAUCAUGAUAAUACCACUUAAAAAAAAUUAUCAAUAUCAUCACAUGAUUAUUUCUCAUCUUAUACUAUUUAUAUAAUUCAACAAGCCUAUAUUUUGACUUAAUGAAGCUUAUAAAUUUAUAAUAUCUUUCAAAAGGGAGAAACAAUCUGGUGCUUAUGCCCCGCAUGCUGAGAUAUACAACUCCAUUCAUGCUCUGCCUUGCUAAUUGAUCAUCAAUUGGUGGAAUAUUUCAUUAACUAAGAAAGUCUUGAAUAUUUCAAUUUUUUCUAAUCGAUCUCUAAUCAAUGGAUGUCAUCAUUAACUAAUAGUUGUCAUAUGUUUCCACAAACAUUAGAGAUAAAACCGAAAAAAAAUCAUUUUUCUUAAUUUUUAUGAUAAAGGGGUAUUUUUAGAAGUUGACAAAUGCGUUAAUAUGAUAAGAAUAAACCUUGGAAAAUUAUUCAAAUUUGUCAAACUAAUUGUUCAAGGCUCUAGAAGAAAAAAUGAGAACAUUCUAAUUCCAAAUACUUUGAAUGUGUUCAAUUUUCAAAGUAUUGAUAAAAUUUACAAUGACUUGAUUGUGUCAUAUUUGACUUGGUCAUGGUCAUACAAGAUUAAUAAAAUAGUUUUUCUGCAAUUCAACACUAACUUCAUUCCAAACAUCAACUCCAUUCCAAAUUAAUUGGUAUGUCUCAUUUAUUUUGACUAAUUCACACUUUCAUUCCAAACAUCAACGCCAUUCCAACUUAAUUGGUAUGUCUCAUUUAUUUUGACUAAUUCACACUAACUUCAUUCCAAACAUCAACACCAUUCCAACUUAAUUGGUAUGUCUCAUUUAUUUUGACUCAUUCAUGAUCAACUCUCAAAAUGAUUGUAUUAUGACUCCAAUAUAUAAAAAUAAAUAAAUAAAAUAAAAAUUAAAAUUAAAUAAGGAGAAUUGUUGUUCUCAUAAAUUCCUUACCUUAAUGAAAAAAAAAAAAAAAGGAAUUGAAAAUUUUAAAUCUCUAUUUUUAGAAGAAGAUCGAUUGACCUUUCAAAGUAUCCUGAGCUAUAAGUUCUUCAUUUUCCUCUCAUUCUCUAUUUAGAGAUUGCAUCUUCUCCCUUAUAAGUAUUGGCCACAAUGUUGACUUGACUAAGGUGAAUGGCUUCUUGCAAAUGUUUGUUGUGAAAGAGUACUUCUAGAAAAAAGUUGACAAAUACAUUGAUAAGAUGAUAAGAAACCUAUGCUUGAGAAUCACUAAACAAAAGUGGGUUAGAGAAUCUAAAAAGUUGAUUGAAACUAAUUAAUUAAACGAAAGCAUUGAAAUGGUGGUAUAUACAAACAAAGUUAUCUUUACUUUAGCAAUAAAUUAAGAAAUUUUAUGCUAAAUAAUAUGAAUUUAAGACUUUUGUUUUAAUGAAAAAAAAAUCAUUGAUCUUAAAAUUUUCAUUAAAUAUUGAAAUAAUGAUAAAUAAUAUGAUCUUCAAUAUAUAUAUAUAAAGUAUAACAAAAAUGCCAAAUACUUUUUUCAUAAAAUAAAAGAAUAUACAAGACAAAUUUCCUUUUUAACUGAACAAAUAAUGAUUUACUUCCUAUAAUUUGAUGACAUUCAUGAAUUUGUCCCUCUUGAGCUAAUCUCCAAAUGUGAAUAGAAUUCUUCUCAUUAGAAUAAUAACAAUUUUAAAGUCACCUUGAUUCCAAGACCGAUAAAUUCAUAAUUUUUCUUGCUUGAUUAGCAUCUCCAAAAAUCAUGCAUUCCAUCUUAACCAUUAUUGUAUCACUAAAAUAUAUGUAAAUUGUCAUUUGAAUGUGCUUACAAGUCUCUAAAAUAAAUUAAUUAAAAUUUAACGUAAAAAUAAAUUAAUAAGAGGAUCUAUCAAAUCCAUUAAUGCCCAAAAACUCUAAAACUUCUUUUUAAAAUACAUAAGAUUAGCUAAGGAUAAAUAUUGGAAACUAAUAGAAUAUUGGUGUUUAGUAAUUGGAGCCAAAAUAUGUGCCCCAAUGACACAUAAACACUAUUAUUUAUGUAACAUAAAAGGCUAGAAUCACCCAACUUAACUCAAUUUGAUGCUAAGAUCCUAGUUAUGGAUCUAACUUAUAUUUUGAACUUAAUUCCAGGUGUAAGAAAUGAAAAAAAUGCUAAGUGCAAAAGCCAUUUUUUCAACCAAGGUAGAGGGAAAGGUUAAAAAAAAUGCAGACUCAAGACUUAUGGAGCAUGAGAAGACCAUAAAAAUAAGAGAAUCGCAAGCAUGAAAGAUGAGCAACUAAUGUUACGGAGAGAAUUAGAGAGCAAGCAACCAUGAAAAAAGAAGGUUUGAAACAAAUGCAAUCGAGCUUAAAAUGGAAUUUGAAACUCAAACCUAGUAAUAACACAUACCCUGAAUUUAAAGGGAAUUUUGGAGCAACUUUCAUAAUCUUUUUGAGUGAUUCCACAUAUGAUUUUGAAUUUGAAGAAGUCAAGAAUCCAACUCUUCAAAUAACUCAUGAUUUGGAGUUGAAAUGAAGAAGAUGUGAGCAAUUAAAAAGAAUUGUGCAAAGAGAAACCAAAGAAGUAUCAAUUUCACAAGAUGUGCAAAAUGGAAUAGAGUUAAAUUUUAUAAGAGCUAAGAAACCUAUGGGAAUUUCUUUCGCAUUAACAUGCAAAUAUUGACACAACCAUGCCAAAACCACUAGAAUUGUGUUGAAGUGUUGCCAAACCAUUUCCAUUUCACAUGAUCAUGCAAAAUUGGUAAUCCUCAUGAGAAAUUAAAGAGUUUUAUUGUUACACGUCUCUUUCAGGGUUAGACUAUAUGUAUUUGCUAUGAUUAAAGGGGAGAAAAAUGGAGAGAGAAAGGAAUUGAACUUUUUUUUUUUCAAUUCUUUAAUAAAUCUUUAGUUUUUUUUUUCUCUCUUUUCCAUCUUUCUAUUUUAUUUUAUUGGCAACCAAACAUGGGUUGUGAGGAAAAAUCCUCCAUCAUGUUUGGAUAAUUUAAUAGAUCCAGAGAUGUUAAUAGGAAUGUGAAGAAUCCAAAUGAGUAGUAAGAAAUGGUAAUGAAUUAAUUGGGUUUCUUUAUGUUUUCAUAUUUGAAUUAGUAGGAUUAAAUCAUCUCUAUUUGUUUACCCUAGAUAAGGUAUAAAGGAUUCUUACCAAGGUAUUAGUGAUUGUUGGAAAGAUCUUAAUCACUAGUUAACUCAAUUUGAUCCUAUUGUUAGCAAAUCUAAAAGUCGAAUCUACAAUAUGGAUAUGGGCUCUUGAUUGAAUAGAAUUGAAAAAUAAAAUCAACCCUUAUAUUUAAUUGGUUUGAGAGAUUUGUGCUUAAAAAAAUAAAGAUCUAAAUUUCAGAUCCAAUAAUGAUCAUGGGAUUCAAUUUGGUCUCAAAUUGACUUUAAUCCUAUAACCUAGAUUUUACAAGACUCACUUUUUAGGGAUUCAAUGUUGGAUUGUUCAACUCUUAAGGACAUUUUCUUUUAUUUUAUCAAUUUCAUUAAAUACUUUAAGAAAAUUUUAUUUAUAUUUAUUUAAAUUAGGUUUUAUUACCUUUAGAAAAUAAUUCAUCAUUCCAACCUAAAAUUAAUUAAACACAUUAGUGUUGAUCCUAGAGGGUGGCAACUUGAAAUACUACAAAGUCAUGGUAACUCCAUCUCUGGUUUUUUUUUUUUUUUUUUUUGCCAAAGUUAUCACGUAUUUAGGCUUUUAGUAUUUUAAUUAGAAAAGAGAUUUGUGGUCAAUUAGCAAUAAUAUAAUAUGUGAUGGCAAGAAAUAUGUAUUUUAAAAAAUACACUCAUUACUAAUAUAAAGUAAAUAUUUGAUUUAAUUAAAUGUCAAUAAUGUUAAGAUAGAGUUCUUAAAAUCAUGACAUGAGGCAAUGAUAAAUGGAUUUUAUUAUUUAUAUUAUGAUUCUAGUUUCCCAAUUUCUCUAUCCUAUUCAUGCAUUACACUCACUAAGCUUUUAGGAUUGGUAUCUCUUGCAUUAUACAUAACUUCGGCGCAUUAUACAUAGCUCUUAUAAAAUUUAACUCUAUUCCAUUUCGCACAUCUUGUGAAAUUGAUACUUCUUUGGUUUCUCUUUGCACAAUUCUCUUCAAUUGCUCACAUCUUCUUCAUUUCAACUCCAAAUCAUGAGCUAUUUGAAGAGUUGGAUUCUUUACUUCUUCAAAUUCAAAAUCAUAUGUGGAAUCACUCAAAAAGAUUAUGAAAGUUGCUCCAAAAUUCCCUUUGAGAUAGUAUGUCCACUUGGGUGAUCCUAAAGACACGUGUUCAAGCAAAUUAUGCACACAGUAGUUAAUUCCUUAAUUCGAAACUUGACAUGAGUUCUUUGUGAGUUAGUGUACAUGUCAGUUGAUCACAAAAUAGGAGGAUUUAUAACUUAAUGACUUUAGAAUUGUUCUUCAUCAUAAAGAAAUCACUUGUGAACAUCUGAAUCUUUGGUAAGCACUCUAAUCUCACUCUUCUAGACCCUAAGAAUGUAUUGAAUGCAUAUUUUUCCACUAUAUGUAGGUUCUAGUCGCUUUAAGGAAGUUUCAUGCACCUAACAAGGUCUAGGGCUAGGGGACAAAGUUAUCUGAAGUUUCCUACACUAAAAUCAUUAAUGACUUUGAUCUACUGGUGAGACACUAAGGUUGUUAUAUAUUCCUAAUAGAUUGGUCACUAUUAAUGGAAAUUAGUGACAACAUGUAUAUUCAAGAGAGGCACCACAAUAUCUCAUUGGUUUGAGACAGUGUGUCCUCUUAGGUGAUCCUAAUGACAUGUGAUUAGGAAAUAUGUGGUUAUAAUAAUUCCUUAAUUAGAAUUUGACAUAUACUCUUAGAGAGUUAGAAUAUGUUAGUUGAUCACAUAAUAAAAGGAUAUGAGACUCAAAGAUUGCAGAGGUAAUUUUGAGAGGUUGAUAACAUAUACUUUGUUAAAUUACGGAUACUAGUUCCUAGAAAGUCUACAAACAAUGGAUAGUAGGUCAUAAACUUGAGUUCUUGUAGUGUAAUUGACUCUUUAUAGUAGGAUGUUGAGUUAACUUUAAAACUUAGAUUAUGAGGGAGCUAAUAUAUUUCUAUAUGUUUUAGUGAUCUCCGCUCAAACUUAUAUUUUUUUAUGGCACAUUUAUUGAGGGGUAUUUAGGUUAUUUAUUCAUAUGUGUGAAUAACAGUAUUUUAGUUAAUACUCAAGAUUGCACAAGAGCUUGUAAAUGGUCUCUCUAGACUAGGGUAAUAGAUUAAUUAGAGACUGAUAUGACCAAUUAAUUAAUUAAGACCCAAGUAGAUUGGAUUAGGGGUUUAUAACUAUAUAAAUCCACAAAGAAGCCUAUAUAAACCCUCUUAGAGGUUUAAGCCUUCAUUUUUGACAUUACAAUCUUCCUAUUCACUUCAAAGAGAAGAAAUGCUUAGUCACCACCCCUCUAUGAUACUUCCACUACCUUCAGUGAUAAGAGUAAAGGAAAGAGAGUUAUCAGGUGGAAGAUUCCUAGGCUUGUGAGAUCCAAGUUAUUCUUUAUCGACAAGAAACAAUUGAGGAACAUUCAAGUAUAAAGUAAAACACUUUAAACCUCUAGAUCUACAUUUUUUUUUUUUUUAUGUUUGUAUUCUUCUACUUGUUAGAUCUGGAGAGCUUUAAGAAGAUUUUUCAUGAUUUUUCGAUCCAAGGCUAAGAAUGGAGUAAUCUAUGGAUUCCCACAAAUAAUUUAUACAAAUUACAUUCUAAUGGUUCUAUCUUAUAUUAAAAUAAAGGUCAUUAGUUUUUGUGAAAUUAAGGCUAGUCUUAUUAGGAAAAUCAACCAAGAGGGGGGUGAAUUAGGUUUUUGAAAAACUUUUCUAAUCACUACAAAUUUAAUAAUAAUAAUAAGGCAUAAAUAUAAAAAAAUUGAGUUAGAGAGAGCAAAUGCAAAUUUUAUAGUGGUUCGACACCCCUUGCCUACAUCCACUCUUCUCAAGCUCCAAUCGAUUGAGGGUUCCACUAUCCUUGAAACUUCAACUAAGCUUCCAAUGUCUUUACACUUGGAUUUUGGCUCUAAGGGGCACUUACACAAUCCCUUUAAGAAUUUACCAACUUGAAGCUGUCAAUGCUCACAAAACUCACAUAAACAACAAGGAAGUAAACUCUCAACCUAGCUCAAUAAAUGCUCAAAUAAAAAAGAAGGUUAGGAUGAAUGACAAAGGGUGCACUAAAGAGUAUGCAAGUGAAGAAUCAAUGCACCAAAGAAAGAAAAUAAGAGCUUUAAAUGAAAAACAAGUAAUUAGACAAUUGAUUGCAUGUGUUCCCUUACUCAUAAAUGAAGUAAAGUUUUCUAUUUAUAGGUUUCUAGUCUUGAGAACCAAAAAUAACAUAAAAAUGCCUCAUCCGGUCGAGCUCCGAUUCAAUCGAUUGACUAGUCGUUGGGCAUUAAAUGCAUAGUUAGUGACCGUUAGGCCUCAACCGAACCUCAAUUGGGAACACCUAGCCCUCAACCAGGAAAGGUCUCACCCUCAACCAAGAAUGAAACCUUUCUAGAAGAGAAAGAAAAAAAAAUUGCAUCUCUCGAUCGGAAUUAGAUGGAAUAUAGAAAAUCUUAUGUCCUAAGCCUCUAAAUUUGUUCAUUAUGUAUUUCUUUUUAUAUUAAUUUUGUUCUUAUUAAUUAUUUAUAUAUAUUAUUAUUUUGUGCUUAAAGUGUCUAUAAAUAAUUAAAAUCAAUAACUUUGAAAAGAUGAAAGAGUAAAAAUUUGAAAUUAAAAAAUCUUUCAUAUACAUAUAUUUAAAAAAAAAAAAAGUCAAAGGUAUUAUGGAGAAAGGAAAAGAUAAAAAAUAAAUAAAAAAUAAAAAAUCGUGAGGCAUGAUUGGUUACUACAAUUCAUAGUUUUCUUUUUUAUAUAUAUAAAAAAAAUUAAACAAAAAUAGACAACCAUGAUGAGCUUUGCAUCUUUGAUUUGUCGUGUCAAAGUUAAAAAAUAAAAUAAAAAAUGAGGUAGUUAAUUGAAAGUAAAGGUGGUUUAGAAAGUAGUUUUGGAAUUUUGAUAAUAUCAUGCAUGUUUGUAGGAUUAUUUUCUCCAAAAUGUAUGUGUUUUGAAAGUCAAAAGUCAAAAUUUUCAACUUUUUUUAGGUGUUGCAUGAUUAUAUGAUUCUCAUCCAUGGUUUCAACAUACUUCUUGGAAUUGGAGCUUUCUAGGAAUUUUGAUUUAGGGUUUCUUAAUUAAUAAGGGUAAAUUUCUAGGGAAUUAGAGCUUUCUAAAAGGUCACCAAUUUUAUGAAUUAGCAAAGACAACUUAGAAGAGGAUAAUUUUACUUCUUGAAUGACAUUUUUUUUCCUAUUGCUCCUUAUAAAUAUAAGAAAAACAAAAUAAAACAUGAUCCAAUGGUUUACUUAUAUAAUUUGUGAAAAAAGAAUGAGAGAUACUUAAAUCAAGAAAACCACAACAAAACCCUAAACUUUAACCGUUUGAUUCCCUUAUCGUCGAUAUUUUCUCCAUAAACAACUACAUGGAAAAGCUUAACUCUUUUUCACAAGGCACACUAAUCUCUUUCUCUCUAUAGAUCUACUUCUUUUCUUCUUCUUUUUUCAUGAGAAGUCCCUUUGUAGUGGUUUUGAUUUCUAGGGUAUCAUUUCGAGUAUUUAAGAAAUUCAAAGAUUUCAAUUUUUAGGUUUUCAUUUUAGAUCCUUCUAUUUUUUCACACCCAAAGAAAACAGGGAACUCUCCAAAAAAACAUUGGUAUUCAAUCUUACACCUCUUUUUUGAGGGCAUGACAAAUGGGAUCUAAAUAACAUAUUGGGCUAUUGGGUUUUGGUUUGUUUUGGAAGUCCUUUUUAAAUUGAAUUUGUUUUAUAUUUCCAUCACCUUCUCCCUUUGUCUCCACCAUUUUUAUUACCACACUCUCUUCUAUUACUAUGAUUUUUAUUUUUCAAUGUUGCUUGUUAGGUUUUAAUUCUAGGUUUUUGUUUUAUAUUUCAAAGGCUUAUAGCUAGCUCCAAGUGUACAAAUAAUAACAUCAUUUUGAUUCUCUUAUUAUUAUUAUUUUUUAUUCAACAUGGAUUAGGACAAAAUCCUUAAAAGCAUAACAUGAUGUAAAAAUAAAUGAUUUUUUAUUAUUAUUUAUAAUAUGUUUCCAUUUUCCCAUUUAUAUAUCUAUCAUUUUUUCAUACUUCAUAUUUUAUGAGUAUUGAAGCCUAGCAUCACUUACAUUAUAAAUAAUUUGGAUGUAUUACAAAUUGUAUAGAAGAUCGAAGUCAUAGGUUUCUUGUAAGUUAAUUAUUCAUUAACAGUUGAUUAAGCAAUGUAUUUAAGGUUAUAGUGUACUACCUUCUAAUUGGAUGAAUGACUUGCUUUAGUUUUUAGGAUAAGGUUUUCAUGGUGAAUGCAUUAGUAUAAAUGGUUAUACAAUAGACAAAAUCUAUAAUGAGUCAUAAUAUUGAUUAUUAAGUAGUCAUGAUUUCACCAAAUUACUAUAUGGUAUAUAUUCUUAACUUUAAGAGAAUAUUAAGGUAGUGUUGGGAUCUUUAAUAACUUUGACCUAUUUGUGAAACCUUAAAGUAAACAUAUAUUCCUUAUAUCAAGGAUCUUAUAACAUUUAUUAAAAAAAACCUAAUUAUUUAUUCUAAGUAAAAUAGUAGUACAUAAACUCAACAGCUAGUCUCUAUUGAGUGUAUAUGGUUGCAGUAGGGGGAGAAGUCUCAAGAGACUCCGGCACAUCAGAAGGGCUCACCCUUGAGUUCAUAGUCGCAGUAGGUGGAGAGGCCUCAAGAGGCUCCGGGCAUCAGAAGGGCUCACUGUUGACCACCUUGCAGAGAUCCAUUCAUCUCCAGUGGAACGAGAAGACAAAUUUGACAGUCUUUCAUUAGGAAUCUCAGUUUGUCCAUUAUGAAAGAAAUGUACUAAUUGAACAGUCUUCAUCCAGACACUUUCAUCACUUCUGGAUGGCUGUUUACGAUUAAAAUCGAUGAGCAGGCGAAGGAAGAACAGUACAAUGUAGAGGGUGGAAGUGGCGCCACAUAAAAGGUAGAGAGCCCAGAAGUUCCCGAGGCUCAGUUCAUCAUUUUCGGUGGCUGAACACUCGGCAGAACAAGGAAACCACUUUUCUUCUAAUGCUUUUAGAAUCCUCUUCUCAGAUAUGGUUAGGAUGGCUUCAGAAACAUCAGCAGCUAAUGGAGAGCCUUUCUGAAAGGCCUGCAUGGAGAUCAACAAGGAUGACAUGACCAAAGCUAAUUUCAUUGUGACAAUGCUAAAAGAAUUCCAUAUGCUAUCCUACUCCACUGAGCAAUGGUUCAACUAAUUCAAUUCCUACCACCAGUCAAGGGAUGGGACAAUUUUCUUUGGGGGAAAAGGGCAUCAACAAAUCAGUUUGGGCCACUUCAUACAUGUGUUAAGAGAAGUUGCAGAAAAUUUUAGAGAAUGCAAAUGGGGAAGAGUUCCAGUUACUACUCACAAAGACUAAUCCUCCAAAUCUGUUGAGGGGUUGGCCGGCAGUGUAAUUCUUGCAGAACUGGCUGGUGAAAACUUUUGCAUAAGGAAGUUGAAGAAAGGCAGCUGACAUGUUCCCACUCUGGAAUUCGCCAGGAUAUUGGUAUUGGUUGCUAAUAUUCUUGAUAUCAGCUCCUUCGAAUUUAAACACGUUCUCUAAGUAUUCCCUCGUAAAUGCAGCACCAUCACAACCAACCACAGACCUAGUAGCUUUUAGCCAUUCGAUAUCCAUCACAUUGGGUUCAAGUCGUCGGACAGUGAGCAUUGAAGAGAGACUAGCAGUGUAGCUCGAGGUUAAAACGAAGACUACAAACAGCCACACCACUAUCACUACUCGAGUAAUAUUGCUACGAAUUGUCUCCCCUGGAAAAUGAAACAAUGGCUAGCUUUCUGAGUUAUUUAAUUAUUGAGCAACCAAAAUCUCUUCCAUUUUUAAUAUUACUACUUACUAUGAGCAAAGAAAAGAGAAGAGAAGGUGAACCAAAGAGCAGUCCCGAGCUGACUCUUCCAUGGGCCUCUGAAUGCUGGAUUAUUGGAUUGGUACGAUCCAGUACCCAAACUAUGAACAUGGUGUAGAUCAAGAGGGCACCUGUGACUACCCACAUUUCCAUGGUGAAAGGCUUCAGGAACAUCCAUGCCUUGUGAGGUUCUUUAGGCCUUGCUUGUAUUAUCACCAAUCCCGACUCGGCAUAUGGCAGUGUGAAUUCCACUUUUUUUGAACGGGUGGCAAGUAUAGUCACAUCGCCAACCACAGCAUCAAAGGUCUUCCAUGUAUUUGAUAGGCAUAAAAUCUCUCAGAGACAAAUGAUUGAAACAAAUAUGAAGUAUGAUUCAGGAAUUCUGAGCGUUAAUCUUCUGUACUAUGUUCACUGCUGUCUCAUGGGGAUAAAGUCAAAACUUAAUAUACCAGAAAAGUCUACCGGGCAGGAUUUCUUUGGGAGGCAUAAAAAUUGAGAAGUUUCGAGGGUUUGAAAAACCUAAUUAUGGAAAUAUAUAUUUCAUAUAAAAUCUUUCAUAAACUCCGGCGCUCUUGUAGAAAAGCAGGCAAGUGUUAACUAGAGAGGUUCAGUUUGACUUUGAUUAUCAUUUAUCAAGCGAUUGUUUCAAUUGUUUUCCUUUAAACAAACGACAUGUUAAUUUGGUCAGCAAGCAAGACAUGCUUUUUGAGAAAUUAGAAAAGGGGGAAGGUUUACUGAUGAAAUCACAACACAAACACCUGCUGAAGUUACAAAUAAAUCUUGGUCGCUAAUGUGAAGUUGAGAUUUAAUUCUGGUGUGGGGAAUAUCAUGAUUAUUGAGAAAGAUUUAAAGAGCUAAGGCUAGAGAUAGGAGUAAAUACCUUGUUAUAAACACAAUAUUCAACCAGCUCGUCAUAUGUGCCAAAAAAUGGAUGGAACUUGUAGGGUAGAGAGUAAUUUUGCUCCAGAAUUUUUACCACCUCUCGGAAAAUAUCAAUACAGAAACCAGUAUAUUUUUUUUCAGGCUCGAUUUGAGCUUCGCCCACCUCCACAAAAUUUUUAAAAGUGCCGUUAGCUGGAAUUCCAAUCUUCAAUGGUUUUGGAUCAGUGGGCAUUUCCCAUCCCUUGGGGACACGUUUUAGGUACCCUGGCCAAAUCACUGGACCCUCCAAAAUCCUUGUGGUGUUUCUACCGCUAUUUUUGUCUCCACCUUCUCUGCUGAAAGGGUUGUCCAAGUCCUGUGUCCAAAAGUCAAGAUCCUUGUAGCCUUUUCCAACAAAGUUUAUAAUCCUGAAUGGCAACGAAUUUGAAUUUGAAAAAUUAAUUGUUCCACUUAAACCACUAAAGUUGCUUGAUAAUAUAUUUUUUAACAACAUUUUUGGAGUAUCAGUAUCACCAACUAAUCUCUCCAGGGCCCAUGUGAUGACAGCAAUGCCAUCAUAUGCUCGUAGUGCAUGAAUUCCUGGCUGGCCGUUGUCUUCCUUUGGAUAUUCAGAUUUAAAAUUUUUCUGAAACUGGGCAGAGAAUUCUUGGAAGGGCCUAUUGGAUUUGGAAUAGCAGGACUUGAUUCCUAGAGCCCCUUCCAUAUAGGGGAUAACAGAGGUGUCCAUGGAAUCCAGGAAGCUUGAAAUGCUAUCUGUAACUAUCCAGGCUGAGUCUUUCCCCAUAAAAUCCAUCCGCCUUGCUUCUUGGAACAAAUGGAUAGCCAUCGGUAAUGAUGAUUGAAGAACAAUGAAAACCCUGGAUUGUGUGCUCAGAAGCUUCAAGAGCUCUUGAUGGACAGCUCCUCUUGGAUCAGAUAGAGAUGAUAUGGGAGGAAGAGACAAAUGGUACUCGAUCUCCGAUCCAACUCCUUGAAGAGCUUCAGAUAAAAUAGUUAACAACUCAGCGUUGCCACCGUACGCAUCAUCUUCAUAGAUUGUGAUGACACUUCGCCAGUGAUAGGAGUAAACGAUAGCUGAAAUGCACCUUAUUUGUUCAGAAACAUUGGUGCCCAUUUGUACCAGGGUGGGCCUUCCAAGCUGCCUCGACGGCCGGACACUCGCAGAUGCAGCCAAUGAAAGAACUGGUACUUGAGCUUGGUUUCCGAUUUCAGCAGCUAAAGCUGCUUGCUGCCAUGUAUCCAUGCCCACAAUCACUUGCACUUUCUUCUCUUUAAUCAGUUCUUCAGCUGCAAUUAUAUCUCACUUAUUUCAUUCAAAAUUCAAUACAUAAUAAUGUUUUCAAUGCAUGGAAGCAGUAAAAUCCUAUUUCCAUCUCUUUCAUUUGUUUUUCCCUUAAAAGGAAAACAAUGAUAAGUACUGAUUCGUCCCUAGCAGUGGCAGUGGCAAUGGCACCAUUUGAUUCGGGGUUCGAUCCCCGGCAACGGCGCCAUUUGAUUCGUGCCCAAUUGGUGUCUCAGCUGAUUCGUGUCCAGCUGGUGCUCCUUGAUUGAGGGAGUAAUCAACAAAAUUUAUAACCUAUUACACUAUAUACUAGGGUAGCAAAGACAAAGCUACUAUAGUAUAGUGGCUCUAGGAUCGUUCACUGGGAUGGGUUUUCACUUUGCAAAUGAUAUUAAUUCAAAGCUGAAUUGGUGUCUUUUCAUUUCAAGGUUAGCUUUAAAAGAAAACAUAAAGAUGUUUGAAUGAAAAAGGUUUGGUUUUAAACUAAUCAAAAAUAGUAAUUGAUUUUACUUACAAAGAAAAGAUGUUUCUUGGAGUUCAGAUCACUAGGCUCGUUCCUCAUACAAAAUGGGAGUUCCGGUCACUUGUUUCUUUUCCUCGCAUUAGAGAAUUAACAUAUAGUUCCUUCUCCAACCGGUGUUGUACAGAUGCUUCCCAUCAAUGGGUUCAAACACUAAAUCCCUCUCACUGAUGCAACUUGCAAUGGUUCAUGCCUCUCACGAGCACUUACCAUUCAAGAUGAUCUUUAACCUUGGACUUCCCUUCAAAAGCUCGCAAGAGAUAACUAAUGGAUGUCUCCUUGGAGUCCAAAAGCUUACCAAGUGUUGGCUAUUCUAGAAAAUCCUACCUUCAAGUCACCUCCCAAAGGCUCGCAAGGGGUAAACUAGUGCAUCUCCAUGGACGGAGAUCACUUGCCUUACCAAGUGUUGGCCCAGGUGAUUUAAAGGCAUUUUAAGUUAACUAAAAAGAUAAAAACCAUUAACGGGUUACACUUUCUCUUCAUUAAAAACUAAAACAACAAAACUUCCAAAUUAUGCAUGUGGAAACUUACCCGGCUUUCCUCACUCCAAGAGACAAAAGGCUUAGCCUCUCAUCCUCUGAGGAAAAAUCCUCAGAGUUUGGUUGGCUAGAAAAUGAAAAUGAAAUGAAAAAUGAAAGAGAAGGAAAAACAGAGCAAGGCUCUGUAUAUUCUAUAUAUGAUCAAUAUUACGGAUUACAUAUAUGGUCCUCCUCCUUUACAGUGGAUGCAAGGGAAUAUAUAUAGAGGAGUUUUUCCAACCUUCCUAGCUAAGAAAUCUUGUGGUUGGUGGCUUACAAGGAGAAGAAUGGAAAUUUAUACACAAAAAUCUGAAGAAAAAUAUCUAAAAGAGUCGGUGCAAAAAUAUCGGGAAGCUCCAGGAACAUUUCGCAGGUGAAAAAUGGUGUCUGCGAGAUUUCGCAGACACUCAAGAGGGCUGCGAAAUAUUUUCGCAACAACAAGUUAAACUCGCAGGGCUGCGAAAUUGGCUUCCACCUUGAGGUUCUCAGAGUUCCAGCUUGCGGCAUGUAUCGGGUAGCUUCAGGAGGAAUUCCAUAGCACUGUACAAAAAGGCUGCGAAAUUCUCGCAACAAAAGGCUGAUUUCGCAACACUUUGGAGUGAUCUGCUUGCAAUGGCUGUAACUCCUUCGUUUCAACUCCGAAUCGCGUACCGUUUGAAGCAUUGGAUUCUUGACUUCCUGAUCUUUGAAAUGGUAUAUAGAAUGUAGAAAAUGGACUUCGGGAAGUGCUCCAAAAGUGCGCAUGAAGACUGCAGCUGCUUGUCCUCUGUUUUCUUCACUCUGUUUUUCCUUUCUCCUUGCUUCUCUCCUUGCAUACUUUGAACGACUUUGGCAAAGGGAUAUGGAGCUCCAAAGCUUGGUUUCUUCAUGAAUUUGAGCUUCCAAAAGCUUUGCCAUGAAUUCCAAAUAGCUCAUCCAUCAUUUGGCAUGCUUGAAUUGAUUCAUAAGCUGAUAAAAACAUGUAAACUUGCCACAAAAUAGUUAAAACCAAUUACUAAGGACCUUAAUGAAUUAAUUGGGUUAAAUGAAUAUGAUUACUACUCAAAGGUGCUUAAAACCAUUAUAAUUAGGUCUACAAAAUAGCACUUUUUGGUAGUAAUCAAGUACUACUUAAAACAAGUUUUUCAAGUUAUUUAAAAAUAAAUAAAGGAAAAUUUAAGAGUGAAAAAAAGAAAAAAAAAUGAAAAGCAUUGCAAUUUAAUAUAUAGGUGCAGUCGCAACAACUUUAGAAGAGAAGACCAACAGACCAACCUAUUAAAGCCGCCCGGUUGAGUUCGCCGGUGAAGUCCCGGGAGAUAAUAGAGUGCUUAUGAUUCUUGGAAUUAUUAUUGAACUUGUCCACGGCUAUCUUCAUGGCCGUCAUUUCCUCUUUACCUUUACGAGAAUUAGAGUCAAUGAUUGCCCCAAUGAUGGUGGAGGUGAUAUCUGCCGCUGUGGCUGUGAUGUAUCCAUGAUGGGAGACAAUUAAAAGGAUGGAGAUAAGUGAAAAACAGAAGAAACAUGGUGUUUGGGUAUUUAGUGGGAAGGGCAUUUCGGCUCUUAGCAAGUAAUAAGCAAGUGCCUUGGAAGGAGAUUGUUCCUAGCUUAUAUAACUGUGAAUCCAGCGGGCUUAAGCACAAGUAGUAGAAUCUUUCAUAGUGAAUUCCCAUGAAGUUUCCUGCUUGCUUCCUAAGUCAAUGCUUGCUGUGCUAAAAUCAAUGAAGGAUGGACACAAUGAAACUCCCUCCCCAUUACUUAAUUUCAUACGUUCUUUUCAACCGUAAGUACAUGUCUCUGUGAAAUAAUUCUCUCCAUGGUACUGUUCCUGUUUUGUGAAGUUGUAGGUCUUGGAAGUUGGAAGUCAUUGUCAACCACCUGUUGUUAGUUUAACAAAUAAAGAAUAUAAUAUGUAUAUUAAAUCCAAAUCUUAUGAGUUUUAAUUAGUUCAUUAGUUUGGUGUAGAGGGAGUCAUUCAAACCACCUCUUGGCAAUUUACAUAUUCAUUUCCCUAUUUAUCUAUGUGUAAGUUCAAAAAGGGUUAUUUGCAUUUGCAGGAGUAUCUCUUCACGUAUGAGUGUGGGGCUGCAAAUGAGAGAAGAUGUUAAAAAAAAUGAAUUUUAUAAGUUUAAGCUUUUAGGAAGAUUAGCAAUUCAAUAAACAGAGUUUUGAAAUUUAUUACAUUUUAAUGGGAUAAAAUUCAAUAAAAUUAAGAGUGUGUUUGACAGUGAUUUUAGGAAGUACUUUUAUCAUUUCUAAUACUUGAAAAUUUUUAUUUUUUAAGUAUUAAAAAGAUUAUAUACACUUCCUAAAAUCACUACCAUAUGAGAAAAUACUUCCAAUAUUUGUAACACUUCAAAAUUUUUAUCAUUCAAGUAUUAGAAUGAUUAAAAUUGUUUUUUAAAAUCACUACCAAACGUAUUUUUAGUUUAUAAACAUAUCCAAGAAACUAAGAUGAAAUAGUUCAAGGAUACAAAAUAGAAAAUUAUGAUAUUUUUAUCUUAAAAAUUCAGUCAAUUACAUAACAGUAGAAAAUAAACUCGUAACAAAUCUUAUAUAAAUGGGAGUGGUCUAUAUUAACUCAUAUAUUUGAUAUAAAACAAAUAAGAGGUGUAUUAUAGCCCUCUUAUAGAGGAAUUUUUUCAAGAAAAAAUCCAUUUCUAUUUUUUUACUAUUUCUUUUAUGUUUAUGGUCUUUUUAAUUAUGGGUUAAUUUUUCCAAGUUCGUUAUGCUUCACCACUCCGAAGUUUCUACAUGAAUACGACAUAGAAAAAAUUCUACAUAGCAUGGAUAUAAAAGUGUUUGUGUCAAAGUCAUAUAAGGUUAAAAAAUAGAUUAAAAAUUUGAGUUAAAACAUGUUGAUAUGUUGCACAUCAUACAUUUUAGAUAUAAAAAUAAAUUAAUUUAUAUAACUUGCGCUCCAAGCCUGAGUUAAAGUUUGAUAUAUAAUAAGACUUGUACAUCCACAUAUUUUAGAUAUAAAAAAUGAAUUGAUUCAUAUAACUUGCACUCCAUGCCCAAGUUAUAAUUUGAUAUACAACGAGAUUUAAAUAUCACUUCUAUUGAGUCACACCCGCUUAACUCGUAUAAAUUGAGAUAACACUGAUACAUGCAAAUCAUAUAUGUAAGAGUUCACAAAACCAAUAAUAACAACAAAUUAGUUUAUUUUCAAAUAUUUUUCAAAAUCAUUUUUAUUUGUAGUAUUUUAGUUUCAAUUAUUUUUCAUAUUUAUAUAACUAUUUUUUAAAAUAAUUUUAGAAAACAAAUACAAAUAAUUAAAAUAUAUUCUUAAAUAAUAUUCUGAUUUUAGAAUAAAUUCUUAAUGAACUAUCAAUCAUAUUUUGGAAUCUAAAAAAUAAGUGCCAUGCAUCACAGUACUACUUAAAAAAUCUGUGGUUCACGUCAUAUGAUUGUUUGUCAUGAUUACCAUUUAUAUAAUCCAACAAGAAGUCCAUUGAAAGGGAAGGAAUCUUAUAGUAUCCUUAUAAAAUAUUUGAGCUCCAAAAUGGGGAAACAAUCCAGUGCUUAUGCCUCACAUGCUAGUCGGCCGUGGUGAUUGGUCAUCGAUUAUUUUUUAACUAAACAAUUACACUAAAUAUUGAUAUGAAUUUAAAACAUUAGAUUAAAAAAUUACACUGAAUGAUAUGAAUUUAAAACUUUUGUUUAUCAUACAUUUUAUUGUGAUAUUAUAUUUAUCCUUAUUUAUUUAAAUAAUUACAAAAAUACCAUAUAUCAUAUACAUUCUAGGAUGGACCGUAAAUAAUGGUGAAAUAUAUGACAAAUUACAAGUUGUUAACACAUCAAAAAUUAUCCUCUUCAACAUGCAACUCUUCAUACUGUAACACGUGCAUGGCUUUGGAAGUGCUUCUCAACUUAACACAUCGAAUUACUCUUUAUUUAAGAAACUUUUUUUUUUUUUUCUACUUUUCUCUCUUGUAGAAUUUCUCUGAAUACAGUUGGUGAUUCUUUGUUCUACCUAGGUUCUCUCCAAAACUUUUCUUUUAACUUUUUUUUCUUUUCAUUUUAUUUCUGCAUUUCAUUUGGAUUUUAUUCUCAGAAUAAAAUAGAUAAAAAGUAGAUAUAAUAAACAAUUAAAGAGUAAUAACAAGAAGAUUUAAUCCUAAAAUUAAUAUUAUUUUACCCUUUAUAAGAAAUAAGAAGGGAAUAGCAGACACUCAUGUUUAAUUUAGAAAAACCGGAGCUUAUCUCUGAUGGUGAGAUGCUCCCCAUCAGAGAAGCCGCGAUUGGACAGCUCUGGAUCUAUGAGUCCCCACCAUCUUAAAAACCCCACCAACAAAAACAAUCAUGAAGAUUCACUCUUUCCCUCAACACUUCAAGCACUUGUUGCAGUGAAUAGAGACAAUAUUUUCCACUCUAUCUCUAAUCCUUGGACUUCUCCCUAACUUAGCCAUUACCAUUAGUACUAAACUUAAAACCUAUUUUAAAAUCUGAAUUCCAAACAUAGUAUAAAAUGAAGUCUCCCUGUAUAUGCCGAUGAAAAAGAGGGAAAGAAAAGAUAGAGGAAAGAGGUGUGUUUGGUUUGGUUUUGUUUUGGAGUGAGGCUUUAAGAGUUGUGAAAAUGGUUGACGGUGUGAUUGAGACGUGGGAAAUGGAAAACUCUAGCAAAAAGGAUCAAAACUAGGAAUGGAAUGGUAGUUAUGGAAUAAAAUAAUCAGUUUAUGAAAAUGGAAUAAUUAUCCAUUUUACAUUAUGUGGAUAGUCGAUAUACACUAUAUAAUCAAAUAUACAAGUAUAGAAAGUACCUCCUAUUCAUGAAGUUGUAAUAAAUUUAUGAGGAAAGCGGUUAUUGUUGAGAAAUCUAAAACUGAAAAGGAAAUUAAAAUUCUUAUAUGAAUUUGUAAUAGAUAUAUGAGGUAAAGGGUUGUUGUUGGGAAUUCUAAAAUUGGAAAGAAAUUUUAGAAUUCUUAUAGAAAUGGAAUCAUAGUUUAAAUAGAAAAACCGUCUAAAAAUAUUAUAUAAUAUUUUUAAUUAUUUAAUCAAACUUAUGAAAAAAUAAUUUAUUAAAAAAACUUAAUUACUUAAUUAAUUAAUUAAUUAAAUUUUUUCUUUUAAAACUUGAUUUUUUUUUAUGAUAGUUAAAUCAAAGAAACAUUCUAGACUGCACAUAUAAAGAAAUAGCUUAACUUGGGGUUUUAUUUUUUAAACUGUUAAUUAAAUAAUAAUAAUAAUAAUAAUAAAUGUAGUUUAUCAUAAUAUUUUUAUUUUUUAUUAUUUAAUAAUAGAUAAGUAAAGAAAACUUACCUUAAUGUUGAAUAGAUAAAGGAGAUAAAUAGGUAACCUAUAUAAAUAAAUUAGUUAAAUGAAAAUAAUUUCUUUAACCAAUCAACUAUUGACCUAAGUAGAAUAAGUUUUUCUUUGAUAGUCAUUCUUCAUUCCAACUUGGAAUUGUUAUUAAUCUUCAAAUUCAAUACUUGUUAUUUGAAUUGAAAUUUUAUUUUAUUUUUUAAAUUAAGACUUAUGUGGUGUUUGUUUUUUUACUUAAUUCUAAAUAGAACUUUAAUGCUUAAUAGUGUUAAAUAUUAGGUUGUUUGUUUUUAUAGUAUUUUAUUUCUCGUAAGUAUUAAAAAAUAUAAAAAAAAACAAUAUGUUAUUUUUUCUAUUUAGAAAAAGUUACAUAUUUUGGUUUUUUUCUAUUUAGUAAAAAAUUUAUAAUAAGUCAUGAAAAUUUUCAAACACCAUUAGUUAUUUUCUAAUUACAGUAGGUAUCACAAAAGUGGGGUGUUUUUUUCUUUGGUAUUUAUAAAUGCUCACACUUCUAUACCUAGCUUUAAUACUUUUUUUUAUAGAAGAUUACGAAAGUAUAAUUUCUGUUUAUUUUGGUUUGAUAAAGAGUUAGCAAUUUAUUAUUAUUUUAAUUUUCUAAAAGUUUAAAAAAUAUAAUGGCUUUGACCUACAUACGAAACCUUAACGAUAGGAUAUUCCUUAUGCAAAUGAUCUUACAACAUUUAUUUAAAAAAAAAAAAAAAACUAAUUAUGCAUUCAAUCUGAGUAAACUAGUAGAACAUAAGCUCAACAGCUUGUUUCUAUCAAGUCUACAUGGUUGCAGUUGGGGGAGGGGUCUCAGGAGGCUCAUGCUCAUCAGAAGGGCUCACCCUUGAGUUCAUAGUUGCAGUUGGUGGAGAGGCCUCAGGGGACUCCGGGGCCUCAGGAGGCUCUGGGGCUUCAGAAGGACUCACUGUUGACCACCUUGGGGUGCUCCAUUCAUCUCCAGUGAGACGGGGAGACAAAUUUGACGGUCUUUCAUUAGGAAUCUCAGUUUGUCCACUAUGAAAGAAAUGUACUAAUUGAACGGUCUUCAUCCAGACACUUUCAUCAUUUGGGUUUGCAUUACUUCUGGAUGCCUGGUGGCGUUUAAAAUCGAUGAGCAGGCGAAGGAAGAACAGUAGAAAGCAGAGGGUGGAAGUGGCGCCACAUAAAAGGUAGAGAGCCCAGAAGCUCCGGAGGCUCAGUUCAUCAGUUUCGGUGGUGGAACACUCGGCAGAACGAGGAAACCACUCAUCUUCUAAUGCUUUUAGAAUCCCCUCCUCAGAUAUGGUUAGGAUGGCUUCAGAGACAUCAGCAGCUAGUGGAGAGCCUUUCUGAAAGGCCUGCAGGGAGAUUAACAAGGAUGAAAUGACCAAAGGUGAUUUCAUUGUAAGAAUGCUAAGCAAAUUCCAUAUACCGUAUGCUAUCCUAUCCCACUGAGCAAAGGUUCAACUAAUCUCCACCCCGAGACAAGGGAUGGGCCAAUUUUCUUUGGGGAAAAAGGGCAUAGACAAGGGAAAUCAAUUUGGGCCACUCCAUACAUUUGGUAGCCUAAACGUUCCUCCCUCGAGCAAUUUUCCUAAGAAAAAUGUAGUGAAUGCACAUGGGGAAGAGUUCGAGUUACUACUCACAAAGCCUAAUCCUCCGAAUCUGUUGAGGGUUUCGGAGGCGGUGUAAUUCUUGCAGAACUGAUUGAUGAAAACUUUUGCAUAAGGAAGUUCAAGAAAGGCAGCUGAGAUGUUCCCACUCUGGAAUUCGCCAGGAUAUUGGUAUUGGUUGCUAAUAUUCUUGAUAUCAGGCCCUUCGAAUUUAAUCACAUUCUCCAAGUAUUUCCUCACAAAUGAAUCACCAUCACAACCAACCACAGAUUUGGUAGCUUUUAGCCAUUCGACAUCCAUCACAUCGGGUACAAUCCGUUGGACAGUGAGCAUUGAAGAAAGACUAGCAGUGUAGCUGGAGGUUAAGACGAAGACAACAAAUAGCCACACCACUAUCACUACUCGAGUAAUAUUGCUACGAAUUGUCUCCCCUGGGAAAUGAAACAACAGCUAGCUUUCUGAGUAAUGUAAUUAUUGAGCAAACCAAAAUCUCUUGCAUUUUCAAUACUAAUACUUACUAUGAGCAAAGAAAAGAGAAGAGAAGGUGAACCAAAGAGCUGUCCCAAGCUGACUCUUCCAUGGGCCUCUGAAUGCCGGAUUGUUGGAUUGGUACUCUACUACCCAAACUAUGAACAUGGUGUAGACCAAGAGGGCACCAGUGACUACCCACAUUUCCCUUGUGAAAGGCUUCAUGCCUUGUGAGGUUCUUCAGACCUUACUUGUAGUAUCAUCACCAAUCCUGAUUCAGCAUAUGGCUGUGUGAAUUCCACCUUUUUUGAACGGUUAGCUAGUAUGGUCACAUCCCCAACCACAGCAUCAUAGGUCUUG